GGGGCGGCUUCUAUCAAUGGAGUUCGUUGUGCCAUAGGUGUAGGUUGGUUUGGGCCGACCAGAAGGUAUUUCGGUCAGGUUGAGGUGGACACCUCGACUAAGGAUGAAGUCUAAACCGUCGCCCACUCGGCCCCUGCUAGUUUUUUCUAGCUACUGAAACCCAACUAUUGCGGUCUCUCGAUCAAUGCUGAGGGCGUAUCCGAGGCCGAUGUGUAGUGGAGAUCCACAACAUAAUCCAAUAUAUUAUCUUGUUAUAUUAUAUUUAUAACAUAAUUAUAAGAAUAUAUUAUAUUAUAUUAUGUAUUAUAAUAAUAAUAUAAUAUAUUAUAACU
rnacentral:lncRNA from 1 species